rnacentral:rRNA from 1 species
CAGCAGCCGCGGUAACACGGAGGGGGCUAGCGUUGUUCGGAAUUACUGGGCGUAAAGCGCACGUAGGCGGCUUGGUAAGUUAGAGGUGAAAGCCUGGAGCUCAACUCCAGAAUUGCCUUUAAGACUGCCGAGCUAGCAGGUGAGAGAGGUAAGUGGAAUUCCGAGUGUAGAGGUGAAAUUCGUAGAUAUUCGGAAGAACACCAGUGGCGAAGGCGGCUUACUGGCUCAUACUGGACGCUGAGGUGCGAAAGCGUGGGGAGCAAACAGGAUUAGAUACCCGUGUAGUCCCUGUCUCUUAUAC